CUUACCAUAAUUAUCCUUUUGAAAAAGUUUUAUCCCUCCCCCAAUAGGCAUUUGGAACUACCUUAGAGAUGCACCUUUUGCAGAAGAACAAUUUGGGUGGGGUUCUUUCAUAAAAACAAAAAGAAGAAUAACCACAAAAAAUCUUUAGUUUUAAGAACAUUUUGAUUUAUUUUAAUUUUGCAAUAAAUUCUAAUAUUCAUUAUCACAAAUUGCCACUCGAAAUUGGGUACGAACGUAUUUCAAAUGAGCGUGUUAAUUAUGUGCACAUGACAUACAUUAAUUUUUGUUUCCCAAACAAAAAUGUAUGACAAAAUUUUGAACCGAAUUUUGACACAAAUUAAUCAACAGGUGGCGUAAUUCGAUACUCCGGUUUCACGCCCACCGAAACGUAUACGCCUAGUGACUUUAUCAAUUAAUUUGUUACGUAGAUCGAGACCGAUGAACUUGUAUGAAAAACAGUGUGGCGGAUUUAAAUUUUGCACAUUAACUGGAUAUGAUUAAAAAAUAAUUGAACUGUUGCAAUUUAUCGAAUUAAUAUUGAGUGCUUGCUAUUUGACGAAUACGUAUAUAAACAAGAAGUAUACAAUUAUGGGUAAUUCUAUUGUAACGGGAGUUACGUUUAAUCUAAUUUACUCAGGGUGAUUCAUAAAGAAUAGGCAAUCCCUGAACUGGAGAUACUAGACAUGACGACUGAGUUUUAGGUUAUUACGAUUACGAUUACAAUUACGAAUUUGAAACUUUUAUGAACCACAGUUAUAUAUUUUUGUAAGAUUAUUUCUGUGUUGAAAAUAUGUUUGUAAAGAAUUUUGUGUUUAUUUAGAAGAUUCAUUACACGGUUUGUAAUUGUUUGACGAAUACUAAUUCUUAUUAUUAAAAAAUUCUUUGGAACAUUUCACGAAAUGGUUUAUAUCAAAUUAUACAAUUUUACAGAAGAAAUUUGGCAACAGUCCUAUAUCAAACGAUGAUGUAAAAUUUAGCUUAAAUUUCUU